rnacentral:rRNA from 1 species
AUACGUAGGUGGCAAGCGUUGUCCGGAUUUACUGGGUGUAAAGGGCGUGUAGCCGGGUUGGCAAGUCAGAUGUGAAAUCUAUGGGCUUAACUCAUAAACUGCAUUUGAAACUGCUGAUCUUGAGUAUCGGAGAGGCAAUCGGAAUUCCUAGUGUAGCGGUGAAAUGCGUAGAUAUUAGGAGGAACACCAGUGGCGAAGGCGGAUUGCUGGACGACAACUGACGGUGAGGCGCGAAAGCGUGGGGAGCAAACAGGAUUAGAUACCCCGGUAGUCCUGGCCCUAAACGAUGAAUACUUGGUGUCUGGAGUUUUUAAACUCUGGGUGCCGUCGCUAACGUUUUAAGUAUUCCGCCUGGGGAGUACGCUCGCAAGAGUGGAACUCAAAUGAAUUGACGGGG